rnacentral:rRNA from 1 species
GACGAACGCUGGCGGCGUGCUUAACACAUGCAAGUCGAACGGUAAGGCCCUUCGGGGUACACGAGUGGCGAACGGGUGAGUAACACGUGGGUGAUCUGCCCUGCACUUCGGGAUAAGCCUGGGAAACUGGGUCUAAUACCGGAUAGGACCACUGCCUGCAUGGGUGGUGGUGGAAAGCUUUUGCGGUGUGGGAUGGGCCCGCGGCCUAUCAGCUUGUUGGUGGGGUGAUGGCCUACCAAGGCGACGACGGGUAGCCGGCCUGAGAGGGUGACCGGCCAUACUGGGACUGGGGUACGGCCCAGACUCCUACGGGAGGCAGCAGUGGGGAAUAUUGCACAAUGGGCGCAAGCCUGAUGCAGCGACGCCGCGUGAGGGAUGACGGCCUUCGGGUUGUAAACCUCUUUCAGCACCGACGAAGCGCAAGUGACGGUAGGUGCAGAAGAAGGACCGGCCAACUACGUGCCAGCAGCCGCCGCGG